UGUUGGAGGGUUUCUGCCCUUCAGUGCCGGAAGUUAACGCAUUAAGCACUCCGCCUGGGGAGUACGACCGCAAGGUUGAAACUCAAAGGAAUUGACGGGGGCCCGCACAAGCGGUGGAGCAUGUGGUUUAAUUUGAAGCUACGCGAAGAACCUUACCAGGUCUUGACAUCUUGCGCCAACCCUAGAGAUAGGGCGUUUCCUUCGGGAACGCAAUGACAGGUGGUGCAUGGUCGUCGUCAGCUCGUGUCGUGAGAUGUUGGGUUAAGUCCCGCAACGAGCGCAACCCUUGUUACUAGUUGCCAGCAUUAAGUUGGGCACUCUAGUGAGACUGCCGGUGACAAACCGGAGGAAGGUGGGGACGACGUCAGAUCAUCAUGCCCCUUAUGACCUGGGCUACACACGUGCUACAAUGGACGGUACAACGAGUCGCGAACUCGCGAGGGCAAGCAAAUCUCUUAAAACCGUUCUCAGUUCGGACUGCAGGCUGCAACUCGCCUGCACGAAGUCGGAAUCGCUAGUAAUCGCGGAUCAGCAUGCCGCGGUGAAUACGUUCCCGGGCCUUGUACACACCGCCCGUCACACCAUGAGAGUUUGUAACUACUACUUAAUACCGGUUGGCUAACUAUUUAUGUGGGCCACACACCCG
rnacentral:rRNA from 2 species